AUAUGGAUCGUAAUCGCUAAUCAAGUAUCUCAAAGUUACGUGCUGAUAGGAAGAGCGCUCCAAUCGCACUUAAGGGCUCAAUUACAGCGCUCCCGGACUGCGACCUGACUCAUCCAUCUGAACUUUACGUCUAUUGUGAAUAAGUCUUCUGAGCUUAUUAUUAUGAGAUAAAAAGUUAAACCUAUUUUAGCCAAUAAUAAAUAGCCAAUUGUCCACAGGGGACAGAGGUUUGUUUUAUAUAUAUGAUG
rnacentral:lncRNA from 1 species